UACGAAGGGUGCAAACGUUGCUCGGAAUUAUUGGGCGUAAAGCGCACGUAGGCGGCUUAGCAAGUCGGAUGUGAAAUCCCUCGGCUCAACCAAGGAAGUGCAUCCGAAACUGCUGAGCUUGAGUACGAAAGAGGAUCGCGGAAUUCCCGGUGUAGAGGUGAAAUUCGUAGAUAUCGGGAGGAACACCAGUGGCGAAGGCGGCGAUCUGGGUCGAUACUGACGCUGAGGUGCGAAAGCGUGGGGAGCGAACAGG
rnacentral:rRNA from 1 species